UCUGAACAAACAGGGUGAGAAAAGAUAAGGGUGACAAUGCUAUCACAUGGUGAGGCGCUGCAGAGUAGCCAUCUGUAAAAGGAAUUGACAAGGUUAUGCUGCACUCUUGUAACUGAUCCCUGAGUCCGAAACUGGCUGUCCCUAUCGAGACUGGACAGGGAGCAGACUGGAAGCAAAUCUCUGUGUGGGUGCUCAUUCGGUCAUUCCUGUGCUACACUCACGAUGUGCGUAUAAGCAGCUUGAUGAUCCUUCCUGAAUGAGGGCACUAGGGACCAUGGCAUGAGAAUGCUAUUGCAAGAAGACAUUAACUCAUCCUCACAAGUUGCUUGUAAGCAGGUUUUCUGCUGAUGGGAUAAACUGUCACCUCUCUGUAUCCAGAGAUGAGAACAACAGCAAAGUAAGGAUUGAAAGACACAAGGAAUGACUUUUUACUGGAGCAGAAAGCAUCCUGUAUUUUAAAGGGAUCCGGAAACUGUCCUUAAUUUGAAGUCAUCUUCAUUCCAGGACUAGUCCCUAGAAGAGGUGACAGUGAAUGGAUGCACUAUUCAGACUAAGCCCCACCAACCAGAACUUCAGUGCCCUGUGCAGCUUGGAUUAAUUGACGGCCCCAACACUGACCAGUGGCUCUCACACAGGGUCCAGUGGUGAUGGCUUAGUCACCGUUGAGAAUGCUGAGAACUGAAUAACACCCCUACCUGCCCUGGCAUCUAGAGUAACACAGCGUCACUGCUCUGAUGUGCACAAUGUCUCCGAGGAAGGCAUCUUGUGCCUCUGCCAGCCAGCCAAACAGCACCUGGGGGCUGUUGGCUCGGCCAUGGAAGUAAUGCUGUAAAUUGAACCCUGCCAUCUUGUGGCAGUUUGGCAAGAGACAGCAAGAAGAAAAGCCAGUCAGGUGGCCAUGCUGCUCCAAGGCUUGCGGACUUUAAAGAAGCUUCCAAAGGAUGAUUAUUGUCUUGAAAAUGAGUAUAGCACCGCUGCCAAUUUGUGGUCCCAGAGGCUGUCACUAUGUUGCGCACUAUGGCCAGUUUCACAGUGACAGUGGGAAUAGAACUUGCAUCCUCCUCCUCCGAAAGGUCAAACACCUAUUACUGUGGUUGGAAGAGACUCUCCAUUAGCUUUGGAGACAAUGACAUACAGUUGAGCUGCUUUAAUUAUAUCCACUAACGGGCUGUGUGCACUAGACGGUAUAUUACAGUCUUGCUACUUUUUAUCCCUAGCAACUAUUUCCCCUUUGAACUUUCUGAACUGUUUUGGGAAAUGGCUUACCCUGAUUUGGUUUUGAGUCUUCAUUGGCUAUCCACCCUCGACCCGAAAGAGACAGUUUCACUGGCUAUGGCUUGGAUUGGUAAGCACUUACUUGCAUACGUAUGUGCUGCUCGUGCUCAUUAAAGCAUUCACAAUCUGUCUCUAUGAUGCUAUUGAUCGGGAAGAAAAUCCCAUUGCCAAGUUGCAAACAGAGGGCUGCAGAAGCCCGGCACAAAUAAGACAUCUCUGUGUGUUGUGGAACACUGUUUUUAGACUCUUAACACUGAUAGUACAGGAAACAUCUGGCUACCGCUGAAGCGAGAAUUUACACGGCUUCUGAGCACUAGUCAGGGUUCUGGAAGGGGGCUGAUGGUACCACAGCAUGUGUGUUAUUACAUACUCGCUGAAAUAUUCAAGAACAACUCAAAGGGCCGAUUGAACAGCAGACCACCAAACCACUACUGAAAAGAAAGGUGUUUGGUUAGAGAAACCACAUGAAGGACCCUGGACUCAGCCCAAGAUGCUUGUGCUUGAAAACAUGUUUGUGUUUAUUUCUUUGGCUGUUUGCUACUGGUUGAAUUUUAAGGUUUCGUUUACCAGAAAUUAAAAAAAAAAAUGCCCCCCACAGUUCAAUGUGAGCUUCAUUUCCACAAAGAUGGGAGGGCUCCCACAAAAACAGAAUGGCUGCAGUUUUACAAAGCGAUGGGCAAUUUCUCUGGAUAGUGCACUUCAGCUGGAACCGUUCU